ACUAACAGGAUUCCCCUAGUAACUGCGAGUGAAGCGGGAAAAGCUCAAAUUUAAAAUCUGGCAGCUUUGGCUGUCCGAGUUGUAGUCUGGAGAAGCGUUUUCUGUGCUGGACCGUGUACAAGUCUCUUGGAACAGAGCGUCGUAGAGGGUGAGAAUCCCGUCUUUGACACGGACUCCCAGUGCUUUGUGAUGCGCUCUCAAAGAGUCGAGUUGUUUGGGAAUGCAGCUCAAAAUGGGUGGUAAAUUCCAUCUAAAGCUAAAUAUUGGCGAGAGACCGAUAGCGAACAAGUACCGUGAGGGAAAGAUGAAAAGCACUUUGGAAAGAGAGUUAAACAGUACGUGAAAUUGCUGAAAGGGAAACGAUUGAAGUCAGUCGCGUCGGCCAGAACUCAGCCUGGCUUUUGCCUGGUGCAUUUUCUGGUUGACGGGCCAGCAUCAAUUUUGACCGCUGGAUAAAGGCCUUGGGAAUGUGGCACCUUCGGGUGUGUUAUAGCCCUUGGUUGUAUACAGUGGUUGGGAUUGAGGAUCACAGCAUGCCUUUAUGGCCGGGGUUCGCCCACGUUCAUGCUUAGGAUGCUGGCGUAAUGGCUUUAAACGACCCGUCUUGAAACACGGACCAAGGAGUCUAACAUGCCUGCGAGUGUUUGGGUGGAAAACCCGAGCGCGCAAUGAAAGUGAAAGUUGGGAUCCCUGUCGCGGGGAGCACCGACGCCCGGACCAGACCUUCUGUGACGGAUCCGCGGUAGAGCAUGUAUGUUGGGACCCGAAAGAUGGUGAACUAUGCCUGAAUAGGGUGAAGCCAGAGGAAACUCUGGUGGAGGCUCGUAGCGAUUCUGACGUGCAAAUCGAUCGUCAAAUU
rnacentral:rRNA from 1 species